rnacentral:rRNA from 1 species
GACAGAGGGUGCAAGCGUUGUUCGGAAUUACUGGGCGUAAAGCGCGUGUAGGCGGCAAUACAAGUCGGAUGUGAAAUCCCGCGGCUUAACCGUGGAAGUGCACCCGAAACUGUAUCGCUAGAGUCCCGGAGAGGAUGGUGGAAUACUUGGUGUAGAGGUGAAAUUCGUAGAUAUCAAGUGGAACACCGGUGGCGAAGGCGGCCAUCUGGACGGUGACUGACGCUGAGACGCGAAAGCGUGGGUAGCAAACAGG